rnacentral:rRNA from 1 species
AUUGAACGCUGGCGGCAGGCCUAACACAUGCAAGUCGAACGAGUGGCGGACGGGUGAGUAAUGUCUGGGAAACUGCCUGAUGGAGGGGGAUAACUACUGGAAACGGUAGCUAAUACCGCAUACCAUCGGAUGUGCCCAGAUGGGAUUAGCUAGUAGGUGGGGUAAAGGCUCACCUAGGCGACGAUCCCUAGCUGGUCUGAGAGGAUGAUCAGGCACACUGGAACUGGAAAACGGUCCAAAAGCCUACGGGAGGCAGCAGUGGGGAAUAUUGGAAAAUGGGCGAAAGCCUGAUCCAGCCAUGCCGCGUGGGUGAAGAAGGUCUUCGGAGUGUAAAGCACUUUAAGUUGGGAGGCGUUACCAACAGAAUAAGCAACGGCUAAAUUCGUGCCAGCAGCCGCGGUAAUAC